UACGUAGGGUGCGAGCGUUGUCCGGAAUUACUGGGCGUAAAGAGCCCGUAGGUGGUUUGUCGCGUUGUCCGUGAAAACUCACAACUCAAUUGUGGGCGUGCGGGCGAUACGGGCAGACUGGAGUACUGCAGGGGAGACUGGAAUUCCUGGUGUAGCGGUGAAAUGCGCAGAUAUCAGGAGGAACACCGGUGGCGAAGGCGGGUCUCUGGGCCGAUACUGACGCUGAGGAGCGAAAGCGUGGGGAGCGAACAGG
rnacentral:rRNA from 1 species